GCCCCGGUAGCUCAGCCUGGGAGAGCGCCCGGCUGAAGACCGGGUUGUCGCCGGUUCAAAUCCGGCCCGGGGCACCA
rnacentral:tRNA from 2 species